rnacentral:tRNA from 1 species
GUCUAGUGGUAUGAUUCUAGCUUUGGGUGCGAGAGGCCACGGGUUCGAUUCCCGU